GUGACUGUAUACCAGCCCUGUCUUGUUAAUUACUGCUCGAAUGCUGUUUUUCAAGGCCCUGAUAUCAACUGUGCACAGCAAAGGAAAGCUGUAAUGAAGGAAGCUUGACAUUCUGCCUAUAGGAUACGGAGUGCGUAAUUUUAGCCUUCUGAUUUUUAGAUGAGCUGAACAUACUCCUAACAUCACCAGGCAUUGGUUCUGGAUAAAAUGUGAUAAAAUGUAGCAAAUUGGAAGAGGUAAAGGUGAGGCAGUCCACUUCUGUCUGUUUAUGGGACUUCAUAACGGGAGACAUUAUGAAGUCAGCAGUAGCAAUAUGUGCACGAUCUUCUGACACUUGUUCAGCUUAUUUUGUAGACAAUUUCUCCAUGCUUUCCUGGCUCUGAAAGCUCAAGGAGAAAUGUUCUUUGCAAAUUUGGAAAAACCUGCUUGAAACUUCAGAGAUCUUCAGAAAGAAAAAGGAAGCAAAAAUAGUGAAGCUGCCCUCAAGAUUCAGCCUCAUCUUGCUCUGCUAAUUGUCCUGUCACAGCUAUCAGGAUCUCUGCUCCUUAAUUUCCAAAAGUUUUCCCAUGAAAAGAAAAUCAACAGAAAUCUCCUUGGCUUGAAAAUCACACAAAUCUUGAUGCAUCUUUGGGUGGGAGAUCUGUGGCAAUACAAUUGAAGAAAAGAACAAACCUUCUGCUAUAGAAAUCAUGCUGUUUCGUCUUAGCUCCAGAAACUUCGGGAAACUGCACACCAUCAUUUGAUGUCUUAGGCAUGGAAAACUUGCCUGGAGUGGGUUAAUUUUGGAGAUUAUUUAAAACAAAAAAUAUUCCUUCCUUCCUUUUCUCUUUCUGUCUUUUUCCAUUUUCCCCCCUGACAUGGUAAUACAACUCACCAGUUCACCAAGUUCUGGAGAAUUUUCCAGAUAGUUUAUUCUUAAUUGGAAAGGUA
rnacentral:lncRNA from 1 species